GACGAACGCUGGCGGCGUGCCUAAUACAUGCAAGUCGAGCGGACCAAAGGGAGCUUGCUCCUGGAGGUUAGCGGCGAACGGGUGAGUAACACGUGGGCAACCUGCCUGUAAGACUGGGAUAACAUCGAGAAAUCGGUGCUAAUACCGGAUAAUAAAAAGAACUGCAUGGUUCUUUUUGAAAGAUGGUUUCGGCUAUCACUUACAGAUGGGCCGCGGCGCAUUAGCUAGUUGGUGAGGUAACGGCUCACCAAGGCAACGAUGCGUAGCCGACCUGAGAGGGUGAUCGGCCACACUGGGACUGAAACACGGCCCAGACUCCUACGGGAGCAGCAGUAGGGAAUCUUCCGCAAUGGACGAAAGUCUGACGGAGCAACGCCGCGUGAGUGAUGAAGGUUUUCGGA
rnacentral:rRNA from 1 species